AUUUUUCUCCCUCCAGGAUGAAGGCGGGUGUGGCGCCCGGGGUGCAUGAGGCUGCGCUGGCCGCUCUCGGGAACGGGUUGGGGGCCCUUCUUUGUUUUCUUUUUUUUUUUAAGCCUUUAAGAGGAAGCUGCCCUUGAUUUUUCUCUCUUCUGCUUUGAGCUUUGCGGAGGACUUGCUGGUGGCCCCUGGGCUACUUCAGUGUGGAGUCAGCCGCAGCACUGUGUGUCCCACGGAGGAGGAUGAGAGGUGGAGACAGGUAAGUAACACCAGCCACCUGUUACCUGCGUUCAGGCCUGCUGGCCGCUGCCUGAAUCGUGGCCGCGAAGUGAGGGCAAAGAAAGAGCAAAAAGACCACCCUGCGGACAAGAAGGACACUGGAAAAGGAAUGCCCUGCGAAGGGGCCUACUCAAAAAUCAUGCUAGUGUGACUGCUAAAAGAUGGACUGUUCCGGGAGCUAGAGGAUCUCCAGACAAGAACCUACCCACACUAUGGCUUCGAACUGAAGGGGCCCUAUGUUCCAGUUAGCUCCUACUAAGAACAUCAAAAUUGAAUUGACAGAGCCUUGGGUGACGCUUAAUGUGACAGCCUCCUAAAAGUGGUCAAGGACACCAAAGGAAUGAUUCAUGUUAUCUCUGUUAUGCCUCUUAAAAAUUUUACACUGGGAAGGAACAUACAAAGAUCCAUAGCCAAGUUCAAAUGGAAAAUUCUCUCCUAAGUAACAAGUAUCCUGUCCAUGACAGUGGACAAGCCUAGUGUAAUAGUUCCCUAUUGGAGACAUCUGGUGGUAGAACUUCAGAUGUUUGUGAUCCACACAUUGAGUCAUUUAUAAAUUGUUUCCAGUACUCAAUGUACACUUCUAAUAAGCUAUGUGCAGCAUUUUAAAAUCUUGC